rnacentral:rRNA from 1 species
CCUACGGGUGGCAGCAGUAGGGAAUCUUUCACAAUGGGCGAAAGCCUGAUGGAGCACCGCCGCGUGCAGGAUGAAGGCCUUCGGGUUGUAAACUGCUUUUAUAAGCGAGGAAUAUGAUGGUCACUUAUGAAUAGGGAUCGGCUAGCUCCGUGCCAGCAGCCGCGGUCCUACGUAGGAUCCGAGCAUUAUCCGGUUUGAAUGGGUGUAGAGAGUUGCGUAGGUGGCAUAAUAAGUAGCUAGUGAAGUCUGGUGGCCAAACCAUUCAGACUAUUAGCUAAACUGUUAAGCUCGAGACCGUUAGGGGUAACUGGAAUUUCUAGUGUAGGAGUGAAAUCCGUAGAUAUCAGAAAGAACACCAAUAGCGUAGGCAGGUUACUGGGACGGUUCUGACACUAAGGCACGAAAGCGUAGGGAGCAAACGGGAUUAGAUACCCUUGUAGUC